rnacentral:rRNA from 1 species
GACGAACGCUGGCGGCGUGCUUAACACAUGCAAGUCGAACGGUAAGGCCCUUCGGGGUACACGAGUGGCGAACGGGUGAGUAACACGUGGGUGAUCUGCCCUGCACUUCGGGAUAAGCCUGGGAAACUGGGUCUAAUACCGGAUAGGACUCCGGACUGCAUGGUCUGGGGUGGAAAGCUUUUGCGGUGUGGGAUGGGCCCGCGGCUUAUCAGCUUGUUGGUGGGGUGAUGGCCUACCAAGGCGACGACGGGUAGCCGGCCUGAGAGGGUGACCGGCCACACUGGGACUGAGAUACGGCCCAGACUCCUACGGGCGGCAGCGAUGGGGAAUAUUGCACAAUGGGCGCCAGCCUGAUGCAGCGACGCCGCGUGAGGGAUGACGGCCUUCGGGUUGUAAACCUCUUUCAGCACCGACGAAGCGCAAGUGACGGUAGGUGCAGAAGAAGGACCGGCCAACUACGUGCCAGCCGCCGCAGUAA